rnacentral:rRNA from 1 species
CCCUUAGAUGUCCUGGGCCGCACGCGCGCUACACUGAUGCAUGCAACGAGUUUAUAACCUUGGCCUGAAAGGUCUGGGUAAUCUUUUGAACGUGCAUCGUGAUAGGGAUAGAUUAUUGCAAUUGUUAAUCUUGAACGAGGAAUUCCUAGUAAACGCGAGUCAUCAGCUCGCAUUGAUUACGUCCCUGCCCUUUGUACACACCGCCCGUCGCACCUACCGAUUGAAUGGUUCGGUGAAGAUCUCGGACUUCGAUAUUUAUUCUUUAUUAAGUUUAUAUUGUGGGAAGUUAUCUAAACCUCAUCAUUUAGAGGAAGGUGAAGUCGUAACA